CGCUGGCGGCGUGCCUAACACAUGCAAGUCGAACGAGAAAGUGGAGCAAUCCAUGAGUAAAGUGGCGCACGGGUGAGUAACACGUGACUAACCUACCCUGGAGUGGGGGAUAACUGAGGGAAACCUUAGCUAAUACCGCAUAAUACCCACGGGUCAAAGGAGCAAUUCGCUUCAGGAGGGGGUCGCGGCCGAUUAGUUAGUUGGCGGGGUAAUGGCCCACCAAGACGAUGAUCGGUAUCCGGCCUGAGAGGGCGCACGGACACACUGGAACUGAAACACGGUCCAGACUCCUACGGGAGGCAGCAGUGGGGAAUUUUGCGCAAUGGGGGAAACCCUGACGCAGCAACGCCGCGUGGAGGAUGAAGUCCUUCGGGACGUAAACUCCUUUCGAUCGGGACGAUUAUGACGGUACCGGAAGAAGAAGCCCCGGCUAACUUCGUGCCAGCAGCCGCGGUAAUUCAAGGGCGAAUUCCACAGUGGAU
rnacentral:rRNA from 1 species